GAUGAACGCUGGCGGCGUGCUUAACACAUGCAAGUCGAACGGUGAAGGCGGAGCUUGCUCUGCUGGAUCAGUGGCGAACGGGUGAGUAACACGUGAGCAAUCUGCCCCUGACUCUGGGAUAAGCGCUGGAAACGGCGUCUAAUACUGGAUACGAGCUGCGAAGGCAUCUUCAGCAGCUGGAAAGAAUUUCGGUCAGGGAUGAGCUCGCGGCCUAUCAGCUUGUUGGUGAGGUAAUGGCUCACCAAGGCGUCGACGGGUAGUCGGCCUGAGAGGGUGACCGGCCACACUGGGACUGAGACACGGCCCAGACUCCUACGGGAGGCAGCAGUGGGGAAUAUUGCACAAUGGGCGAAAGCCUGAUGCAGCAACGCCGCGUGAGGGACGACGGCCUUCGGGUUGUAAACCUCUUUUAGCAGGGAAGAAGCGAAAGUGACGGUACCUGCAGAAAAAGCGCCGGCUAACUACGUG
rnacentral:rRNA from 1 species